rnacentral:rRNA from 1 species
GCGAAAGCGAGUCCGAAAUGGGCGCACAGUCGCUGGGAGUAGACCCGAAACCCGGUGAUCUACCCAUGUCCAGGAUGAAACGAGGGUAAAACCUCGUGGAGGUCCGAACUCACUACAGUUGAAAAUGUAGGGGAUGAGGUGUGGGUCGGAGUGAAAGGCUAAUCAAACCGGGAGAUAGCUGGUUCUCGCCGAAAGAUAUUUAGGUAUCGCCUCGGAAAACUCUGUCGAGGAGGUAGAGCACUGGAUGGGCUAGGGGUCUUACCAGAUUACCAAACCCAACCAAACUCCUAAUGCCUCGACAUUUACUCCGGGAGUCAGGCUGUGGGAGCUAAGUUCCAUGGCCAAAAAGGGAAAGAGCCCAGACCGCCAGCUAAGGUCCCUAAGUCGUUGCUAAGUGGUAAAAGGAUGUGGAAGCACACAGACAACCAGGAGGUUGGCUUAGAAGCAGCCAUCCUUUAAAAGAAAGCGUAAUAGCUCACUGGUCAAGUGAGUCCGCGCCG